rnacentral:lncRNA from 1 species
UACAUUGUUAGUUUGACAUCUCCAUGUCCAUGACUUGUGAAACAUAGUCAUCAACUAAUACAUAUACUAGUCUAAUAUUCAUGUGCGUCCACACAUGAACAACGACUAGGGACAGCUUUUAGAAUAACCAUACAAGUAAAGAGUUCCACAUACAAUUCACAUAAUUGCAGAUCAAUUCACGUAGUCUUUAAUGGAUAUUCAAUGAACACAAUAUACAAAUCAUGGAUACAAUCAAAUAUCAUCAUCUCUAUGAUCACCUCUAGGGCAUACCUCCAACAGUCUCCCA